CUGCGCCCGAAACUACUAGUCUAGAGACUUGAGGGUAGCGAAUUCUUGUGAGCAGUGAAAUGCGUAGAUAUCAAGAGGAACACCACGGCGAAGGCAGCUUCUGGGACAGAUCUGACGCUCAGGCUCGAAAGCGUGGGAAGCAAAAGGGAUUAGAUACCCCUGUAGUCCACGCUGUAAACGGUGCGCAUUAGGUCUCGGAGCUUUCGAACGCUUCGGGGCUCAAGCUAACGCAUUAAAUGCGCCGCCUGAGGACUACGGCCGCAAGGCUAAAACUCAAAUGAAUUGACGG
rnacentral:rRNA from 1 species